AUACGUAGGUGGCAAGCGUUGUCCGGAAUUAUUGGGCGUAAAGCGCGCGCAGGUGGUUCCUUAAGUCUGAUGUGAAAGCCCCCGGCUCAACCGGGGAGGGUCAUUGGAAACUGGGGAACUUGAGUGCAGAAGAGGAUAGUGGAAUUCCAAGUGUAGCGGUGAAAUGCGUAGAGAUUUGGAGGAACACCAGUGGCGAAGGCGACGGUCUGGUCUGUAACUGACACUGAGGCGCGAAAGCGUGGGGAGCAAACAGGAUUAGAUCCCCGGGUAGUCCACGCCGUAAACGAUGAGUGCUAAGUGUUGGGGGGUUUCCGCCCCUCAGUGCUGCAGCUAACGCAUUAAGCACUCCGCCUGGGGAGUACGGUCGCAAGACUGAAACUCAAAGGAAUUGACGGGG
rnacentral:rRNA from 1 species